CAGGUGAGGGGGCUGGGUACUGGGGUUAGGUGAUAUGGAAACAGGUGAGGGGGCUGGGUACUGGAGUUAGGUGAUAUGGAAACAGGUGAGGGGGCUGGGUACUGGGGUUAGGUGAUAUGGAAACAGGUGAGGGGGCUGGGUACCCAGGUUAGGUGAUAUGGAAACAGGUGAGGGGGCUGGGUACUGGAGUUAGGUGAUAUGGAAACAGGUGAGGGGGCUGGGUACUGGGGUUAUGUGGUAUGGAAACAGGUGAGGGGGCUGGGUACUGGGGUUAGGUGAUAUGGAAACAGGUGAGGGGGCUGGGUACCCAGGUUAGGUGGUAUGGAAACAGGUGAGGGGGCUGGGUACUAGGGUUAGGUGAUAUGGAAACAGGUGAGGGGGCUGCGUACUGGGGUUAGGUGAUAUGGAAACAGGUGAGGGGUCUGGGUACUGGGGUUAGGUGAUAUGGAAACAGGUUUGGGGGCUGCGUACUGGGGUUAGGUGAUAUGGAAACAGGUGAGGGGUCUGGGUACUGGGGUUAGGUGAUAUGGAAACAGGUUUGGGGGCUGCGUACUGGGGUUAGGUGAUAUGGAAACAGGUGAGGGGGCUGGGUACCCAGGUUAGGUGGUAUGGAAACAGGUUAGGGGGCUGGGUACUGGGGUUAGUUGAUAUGGAAACAGGUGAGGGGGAUGGGUACUGGGGUUAGGUGAUAUGGAAACAGGUGAGGGGGCUGGGUACUGGGGUUAGGUGAUAUGGAAACAGGUGAGGGGGCUGGGUACUGGAGUUAGGUGAUAUGGAAACAGGUGAGGGGGCUGGGUACUGGGGUUAGGUGAUAUGGAAACAGGUGAGGGGGCUGGGUACUGGAGUUAGGUGAUAUGGAAACAGGUGAGGGGGCUGGGUACUGGGGUUAUGUGGUAUGGAAACAGGUGAGGGGGCUGGGUACUGGGGUUAGGUGAUAUGGAAACAGGUGAGGGGGCUGGGUACCCAGGUUAGGUGGUAUGGAAACAGGUGAGGGGGCUGGGUACUAGGGUUAGGUGAUAUGGAAACAGGUGAGGGGGCUGGGUACUGGGGUUAGGUGGUAUGGAAACAGGUGAGGGGGCUGGGUACUGGGGUUAGGUGAUAUGGAAACAGGUGAGGGGGCUGGGUACUGGGGUUAGGUGGUAUGGAAACAGGUGAGGGGGCUGGGUACUGGGGUUAGGUGAUAUGGAAACAGGUUUGGGGGCUGCGUACUGGGGUUAGGUGAUAUGGAAACAGGUGAGGGGUCUGGGUACUGGGGUUAGGUGAUAUGGAAACAGGUUUGGGGGCUGCGUACUGGGGUUAGGUGAUAUGGAAACAGGUGAGGGGUCUGGGUACUGGGGUUAGGUGAUAUGGAAACAGGUUUGGGGGCUGCGUACUGGGGUUAGGUGAUAUGGAAACAGGUGAGGGGGCUGGGUACCCAGGUUAGGUGGUAUGGAAACAGGUUAGGGGGCUGGGUACUGGGGUUAGUUGAUAUGGAAACAGGUGAGGGGGAUGGGUACUGGGGUUAGGUGAUAUGGAAACAGGUGAGGGGGCUGGGUACUGGGGUUAGGUGAUAUGGAAACAGGUGAGGGGGCUGGGUACUGGAGUUAGGUGAUAUGGAAACAGGUGAGGGGGCUGGGUACUGGGGUUAGGUGAUAUGGAAAC